UACGUAGGGUGCGAGCGUUAAUCGGAAUUACUGGGCGUAAAGCGUGCGCGGGCGGUUUGUUAAGACAGAUGUGAAAUCCCCGGGCUUAACCUGGGAACUGCAUUUGUGACUGGCAAGCUAGAGUAUGGCAGAGGGGGGUAGAAUUCCACGUGUAGCAGUGAAAUGCGUAGAGAUGUGGAGGAAUACCGAUGGCGAAGGCAGCCCCCUGGGCCAAUACUGACGCUCAUGCACGAAAGCGUGGGGAGCAAACAGG
rnacentral:rRNA from 1 species